rnacentral:rRNA from 1 species
UGCCAGCAGCCGCGGUAAUACCGGCGCCUCAGGUGGUAGUCGCUUUUAUUGGGCCUAAAACGCCCGUAGCCGGUCUGAUACAUUCGUGGGUAAAUCAACCAGCUUAACUGGUUGAAUUCUGCGAGGACGGUCAGACUUGGGACCGGGAGAGGUGUGGGGUACGCUCAGGGUAGGGGUAAAAUCCUGUCAUCCUGAGCGGACCACCUGUUGCGAAGGCGCCACACUAGAACGGAUCCGACGGUCAGGGACGAAGCCUAGGGGCACGAACCGGAUUAGAUA